UACGGGGGGGGCAAGCGUUGUUCGGAAUUACUGGGCGUAAAGGGCUCGUAGGUGGCCAACUAAGUCAGACGUGAAAUCCCUCGGCUUAACCGGGGAACUGCGUCUGAUACUGGAUGGCUUGAGUUCGGGAGAGGGAUGCGGAAUUCCAGGUGUAGCGGUGAAAUGCGUAGAUAUCUGGAGGAACACCGGUGGCGAAGGCGGCAUCCUGGACGGUAACUGACGCUGAGACGCGAAAGCGUGGGGAGCAAACAGG
rnacentral:rRNA from 1 species